AGCAAAAUAAGAUGGAUGUGGAAUUCCUUUGCUUUUUGAAAUUUAUUGACUAAGAAUGGGAAACAGGUGUGAGAUGGCAAGAUGUCAGCAGUCGUUUUGUGCUUCUUGUCCACUGACUCUGAGUGAUCAGAAAAUAAGUAUUUAUGGAUGUCUGAGACAGUCUUCCUGGCAAGUAAAUAUGGACUCUGAUUUUUAUCAAUUUGUAAUUGAUAAUGUCUUUAGCCUACAAAUCUAAACAUUUGGGAAGAAUUUGCAGGCCUAUUGCAUAAGUGAUUUAUUUAAGUGAGUUAAAUUGUCUCAGAGCCUGUUUCAAGGAAAAAAGUGUUUUUCUCUCAUUUACAUGCACUCCCAUGAAGUAACUACCACAGGUUAUAUUCUUAUUUUUUAAAAACCAUAUUAUUUUACAAUAAGAAUAAUUCCUAUCAUCUUUUAAGCCUUUCAAUAUAUAAUAGGCACUGUGUUGAAGGGUUUACAUAUCUUGUCCCUUUUUAUAUACGUUAAUUCACUGAACUCUUCCAGUAACUUUACUGGGUCUUGUUUCCAUUUUAGAGAUGAGGACAUUGAGGCUCAGGGAAAUUAAAUAACUUAUCCAAAGUAUUUGACUGAUUAAGUGGUAGAAGAAGUCAAAAUGAAACCAUAGUUCCUAGAUAAAACCAUAUUUGGACAAGAGGUUCCUUGUAACCAGUUUUUAAAAUAUGUAACAUUCAUGAUGCAUUAACCAAUCAUUCUACCUAGAGCCAGAUGACCUAGAUUUAAACUUUGAUUCUUCCACUUGCCGGCAUAGGACUUUGAGCAAGCUGAAUCACAGGCAAAUCUCAUGAGACACCAAGAGCACCUGUCAAGCCACUGCAGUAGCUUCUGGCUGGGGCCAUUCUGCUGUGUGGAUGUUCAUGACCUAGCAGUUAUUACAUGUUUUGAACAUUACCCCUAAUCACUUGUACCCAUGAUGAAAUUAUUGGUAAGGGUAGAAGCCACCUCGUUAAA